GAUGAACGCUGGCGGCGUGCUUAACACAUGCAAGUCGAACGGAAAGGCCAGUGCUUGCACUGGUACUCGAGUGGCGAACGGGUGAGUAACACGUGGGUGACCUGCCCUGGACUUCGGGAUAACCCUGGGAAACUGGGUCUAAUACCGGAUAGGACCAUGGGUUGGAUGCCGUUGUGGAAAGUUUUUUCGGUGUGGGAUGGGCUCGCGGCCUAUCAGCUUGUUGGUGGGGUAGUGGCCUACCAAGGCGUCGUCGGGUAGCCGGCGUGAGAGGGUGUACGGCCACAGUGGGACAGAGAUGCGGCAGAGUCUUAUGCGGGAGAGAGCAGUGGGAAAUAGUGCAAUAUGGGCGGGAGUCAGAUGGAGAAACGGCGUGUGCGAGAAGAGGGUUUGCGGGGUGAACACCGCUCGCGAGUGUGAAGGAGCGUGUGUGACGGUACCUGGAGAAGAAGCACCGGCUAACUACGUG
rnacentral:rRNA from 1 species